rnacentral:rRNA from 1 species
AGCAGCCGCGGUAAUUCCAGCUCCAAUAGCGUAUAUUAAAGUUGCUGCAGUUAAAAAGCUCGUAGUUGAAUUUCGGGAUCAAUAUGUUGGUCGUGCCUUGGUACGUACUAGCUCAUUGGUUUCUCCCUUCUGACGAACCAUGAUGUCAUUAAUUUGAUGUCAUGGGGAAUCAGGACUGUUACUUUGAAAAAAUUGAGUGUUUAAAGCAGGCUCGCGCUUGAAUACAUUAGCAUGGAAUAAUGAAAUAGGACAUUUGAUUCUAUUUUGUUGGUUUCUAGGAUCGAUGUAAUGAUUAAUAGGGAUAGUUGGGGGCAUUAGUAUUCAAUUGUCAGAGGUGAAAUUCUUGGAUUUAUUGAAGACUAACUACUGCGAAAGCAUUUGCCAAGGAUGUUUUCAUUAAUCAA